UGGGUGCAACGCCAUAUCACUGAGCAUGAGGCCUGGCUUCCUUAACGCUUACCAAAGAACUGGAUGACACAGCCCUGUGGGCAAACUAUGACCAAUGGGAAAUGGAAGAAGUUAGGAAAGAGGAAGUUGGAUAUAAACCAUGAUACAUCCAUAAAAUAGGCAACAAUUUCAAAAACAAGAUUGAUCUGACUUCUAAAUGAUUUUUUAAGUGUGAAAAGCAAGGAGAUAGAUGGAUACAUAAUUGUCUGCUAGCCAGGGAAUUUCUUGAAAAGCAUCCAAAGGAAAUAAAUGAUGGUAAGACCGUGCCAAAUGUGGAGCAGACACCAAAGUAAGACCUAACACAUAAAGCAGAGAGACAUGUUUAAUAGCCCAAACCUCAUAAAGGCAAUGACUGAAAAGCCAAUCAGCAGAAAUGGGAUGAUUAGAAAAAAACAAAACAAACAAAAAAGCAAAGGCUGAAAAGCCAAAAGUAAAACUUAGGCUACAUAUUUUCAAGUUCUUUUAGGAUGGCAGGUAUUCAUUUCUUCAGUUUACCUGUGGCCAUAAAAGGAGAUUCAAAGAUAACAGUCUUAGUUCUGUCAUCUUGGGCUAUUUGCUCACUUAUAAAUGAAAUAAAAUUCUGCAAUUCUAUUACGUUAGUUCCUCAUUUUAUGUAUGUAUGUAUGUAUGUGUGUGUGUGUAUAUAUAUAUCUUAUAAAGGUAAAAAACUGGAAAGAUACCUACUAGAUCCUUUGCAUUGCCUCUAAAGCAUAUACUUUUUUCAGAAAGAGGAUCAGGAAACUCUUCUAGAAGGCCAUGUUUAUUAGAAGUGGUACUAGGCAUUCAAUGAAAAAAGUAAUCUAUUUCUCUUUGCAUAGAUUAAAUCCAGAAACGGGCAAAACUCUGUAUUUACAUUUAUUUUGGCAACAAUAUAGAUAAGUUAUUCAAGAUUAAUUUAUUGAAUAAUGAAUAGUUGGUU